UACGUAGGGUGCUAGCGUUGUUCGGAAUCAUUGGGCGUAAAGCGCGUGUAGGUGGUUAAGUAAGUCGGGUGUGAAAUCCCUGGGCUCACGAGGAAGUGCAUUCGAAACUACUUAGCUAGAGGACGGUAGAGGAAGGUGGAAUUCCUAAUGUAGAGGUGAAAUUCGUAGAUAUUAGGAGGAAUACCGGUGGCGAAGGCGGCCUUCUGGGCCGGUUCUGACACUGAGACGCGAAAGCGUGGGUAGCAAACAGG
rnacentral:rRNA from 1 species